AUUUGACCGGUAGUGUAAUUAAGACAAUUACUUCACAACCACAAACAGAAUGCUAUUCUGUUGACUGAUUAUUGUAGUAUAUGUUGUCCUAGGCCGCGCUAUUCUCUGCUGUGGAUGUGAAUGUAGAAAAGCUGAUGACCAUUGCCAGUGAGUGUAAUUCAAAGUAUUAUCUGCUGUUUCAUCUCUGUUUAUUUCUCCUGGUGCCUUUUGAACAUUGUUUGGUGUUUACUUGACCCAGAAAACAGGUUUGAAAGUGUUUGCAAGAUUUAAGAAGUGGAAAUAUCUAUCAGUCAAAAGAUAGGCUUGAAUUUGCUGGCGCAGAGAGAGAGAGCCGGCUCAUAGGCGAGUUAGUCUAAAGCAGGGCUGUUCAGUUAAAGCAGAAUCAGAUCGGUCUACAGUACAUUCAAAGGGCACUGAAUUGAGCAACCAAUCUAUGUUGUUAUUGUUCUAGUGGAGCAGAAUGUGGUUCUGAAACUGUGUGGGGCCUUUCAAGAAGAGGAUUCUUGCUCCUGAGGAAACAUGCAACCUGUCCAAAACCCUGCACUAAUACAUCAACAGAGACCUGGAGACAGAGCUUGGCGUCACGGUGCGGUUCACUGAUCCUUUACGUGACCAAUAUCUACCCCAUCUUCAUCCAAGUUCUAUAUGACUUUUCAAGAUUUCACUAUCAUAUUUUUUGCAUCCCCAGGAUAAAUUGGGUGAGGUAAAAUAUGCAAAUGUAACAGGCUUAUCUGCUAUUCCACUCCAGCAAUUUCCAGCCAGUAAUGACUACGAAGUAUCUUUACCUGUGGGAGAAGUACAGUAGACCACAUUUUAGUCUUUGCCACCUUCUAGUGUUUGUAUAAAGUGCCAAGGAAAGAUUAUUAAUGAAGGGUGUUUGUAAAGCCCAUGUGACUUACAUGGAUACUCCCCUUUCACAAGACACGGUGAAGCUACAUUUGAGAGCAGAGGACUGGUAAAGUGCUUUCCUUUGACCAAACAAACCAUCAGUAUUUCAUUCAGAAGUAUACAAACACAUGGUAUAUCUAUAUGUUAUUAAUGUGUUAGAAACUUAGUUCUAGGUACAUUUAUGCGGCUGAAUUUUUGUUUCUAGUUGUGUGUGUGUGUGUAUAUGUGUGUGUGCGCGUGCAUGUGUGUGUGCGUUCGUGCGUGCGUGUUGUAUGGCCCCUGUAAAUCACAGCCCAGGCGAUGAAUUUGAGGUGUGUCUUGAUUUCAACAUCCAUCCGGAGGAAAAAUAAUUCCUGAAGAAGAGAAAGAUUCUAGUGGGGUUGGGCCUCAGUUCUCAUCCUGACCCUGACAAGGUACAUGGUUCCUGUUAUAGCUGUGGUUGGCUCAGGGGCAGGACCUGAGCAGUGACUGGCCUGUGUGGCAGAGACUGGGACUACUGGAUGAUGUGAGCCACAUCACCGGUGUGUCAGGCUCCACGUGGCUCCACUGUCACGACUUCCUCCGAAGCUGCCUCCUCUCCU